rnacentral:rRNA from 1 species
GAUGAACGCUGGCGGCGUGCUUAACACAUGCAAGUCGAACGAUGAAGCCCAGCUUUCUGGGUGGCUUAGUGGCGAACGGGUGAGUAACACGUGAGUAACCUGCCCUUAACUCUGGGAUAAGCCUGGGAAACUGGGUCUAAUACCUGAUAGGAGCGUCCACCGCACGGAGGGUGUUGGAAAGAUAUAUCGGUUUUGGAUGGACUCGCGGCCUAUCAGCUUGUUGGUGAGGUAAUGGCUCACCAAGGCGACGACGGGUAGCCGGCCUGAGAGGGUGACCGGCCACACUGGGACUGAGACAUGGCCCAGACGCCUACGGGAGGCAGCAGUGGGGAAUAUUGCAAAAUGGGCGGAAGCAUGAUGCAGCGACGCCGCGUGAGGGAUGACGGCCUUCGGGUUGUAAACCUCUUUCAGUAGGGAAGAAGCGAAAGUGACGGUACCUGCAGAAGAAGCAACGGCUAACUACGUG